rfam:Daphnia pulex DAPPTscaffold_80_Cont3895, whole genome shotgun sequence.
UAGCUUGUCAGAGUGGUUGUGAUGUGCGUCAUGUUGUACUCGUAUCACAGCCAGCUUUGAUGAGCGCUA